GAUGAACGCUGGCGGCGUGCCUAAUACAUGCCAGUCGAGCGAACAGAUAAGGAGCUUGCUCCUUUGACGUUAGCGGCGGACGGGUGAGUAACACGUGGGUAACCUACCUAUAAGACUGGAAUAACUCCGGGAAACCGGGGCUAAUGCAGGAUAACAUGUUGAACCGCAUGGUUCUACAGUGAAAGGCGGCUUUGCUGUCACUUAUAGAUGGACCCGCGCCGUAUUAGCUAGUUGGUGAGGUAACGGCUCACCAAGGCAACGAUACGUAGCCGACCUGAGAGGGUGAUCGGCCACACUGGAACUGAGACACGGUCCAGACUCCUACGGGAGGCAGCAGUAGGGAAUCUUCCGCAAUGGGCGAAAGCCUGACGGAGCAACGCCGCGUGAGUGAUGAAGGUCUUCGGAUCGUAAAACUCUGUUAUUAGGGAAGAACAAAUGCGUAAGUAACUGUGCGCGUCUUGACGGUACCUAAUCAGAAAGCCACGGCUAACUACGUG
rnacentral:rRNA from 1 species